GCUGAAAUAGCUCAGUCGGGAGAGCGUUAGACUGAAGAUCUAAAGGCCCUGGUUCAGUCCUGGGUUUCAGCA